rnacentral:misc_RNA from 1 species
GGUUUUUUUCUCUCUGUGUAAUUUGCAUGGCAGCAGAGCCUGACAGCACCGGUGGGAAUGAGAGUAGAUCUCUGGAAAAUUAUCAGCUAUGGUUUGUUAUUGAGAAGCCUAAUAUUGCAAUAAUGAUCAAGUGAUCUAUCGUUAGGCAGCAGUAAUGGUUAUUUUCUCUCUACAUAAAGGUUAGGUUUGUGUUCUCCGCCUUUGCUCCGAUUUUCUUCUCCCCUUUCAAGGAAUUUUCGGCGGCUAAGUUAGAUACAUUCUUUUCUUUUUGGGUUUAAUUUAUUUUAUGUAAGACGGAAUCAAUGGAGAUGAUGAUGAAGAUGGAUGAUGAAUGAAAUCAGACGGAUUCCCAUUGAUAUUUUCUAAACAUGAUAUCAUUUACCAGCUACUCCUGACUCUUCUUCAUCAUCAUCCGCUUCUUUAUUUAUUUUUUUUUAUUUGAAAAGAUUAGUUUACAGACUGUUGAAUUAGGCCAGUGAUGUGAUAGAAUAUUUGCUACUCUUAAUGGAUUCGUUGAAUCUCUCACUGAUGAUUCCUAUCCACCAAGAU